CAAUAGCGUAUAUUAAAGUUGUUGCAGUUAAAAAGCUCGUAGUUGAAUUUUUGCUUGCCGCCGAUGUCGGAACUUCCGUACGUUCGGCGGCGUGCAUCCUUGGGUGGAACCUGUGUGGCAUUAGGUUGUCGUGCAGGGGAUGCUCAUCGUUUACUGUGAAAAAAUUAGAGUGUUCAAAGCAGGCUUACGCCGUUGAAUAUAUUAGCAUGGAAUAAUAAGAUAGGACCUUGGUACUAUUUUGUUGGUUUGCGCACCGAGGUAAUGGUUAACAGGGACAGUUGGGGGUAUUCGUAUUCCAUUGUCAGAGGUGAAAUUCUUGGAUUUCUGGAAGACGAACUACUGCGAAAGCAUUUACCAAGGAUGUUUUCAUUAA
rnacentral:rRNA from 1 species